rnacentral:tRNA from 1 species
GCCCCCGUAGCUCAGCGGACAGAGCAGGGGCCUUCUAAUCCCAAGGUCGGAGGUUCGAAUCCUCCCGGGGGCACCU